CGCACUAGUCGGGGAGUUAGCGGUGCCCUGUACCUGCAACCCGCUGCAGCAGGGAUGAAUCACGGCCCCCGGAUACCGUUUGUUUUGCAGUUACUGGUAAGCGGUGAUGAAGAACCGGUCCCGCGCAAUGCUGUCCUGUGAACCGUGUCAGGUGGGGAACCAAGCAGCACUAAGCAGAUCACAGUGUGUGCCGUGGGAGCGCCGGUUUUGAGCUUGCUGCCAGAGAG
rnacentral:SRP_RNA from 1 species